rnacentral:rRNA from 1 species
GCAUCGCCGCGUGAGUGAUGAAGGUUUUCGGAUCGUAAAGCUCUGUUGUUAGGGAAGAACAAGUGCCGUUCAAAUAGGGCGGCACCUUGACGGUACCUAACCAGAAAGCCACGGCUAACUACGUGCCAGCAGCCGCGGUAAUACGUAGGUGGCAAGCGUUGUCCGGAAUUAUUGGGCGUAAAGGGCUCGCAGGCGGUUUCUUAAGUCUGAUGUGAAAGCCCCCGGCUCAACCGGGGAGGGUCAUUGGAAACUGGGGAACUUGAGUGCAGAAGAGGAGAGUGGAAUUCCACGUGUAGCGGUGAAAUGCGUAGAGAUGUGGAGGAACACCAGUGGCGAAGGCGACUCUCUGGUCUGUAACUGACGCUGAGGAGCGAAAGCGUGGGGAGCGAACAGGAUUAGAUACCCUGGUAGUCCACGCCGUAAACGAUGAGUGCUAAGUGUUAGGGGGUUUCCGCCCCUUAGUGCUGCAGCUAACGCAUUAAGCACUCCGCCUGGGGAGUACGGUCGCAAGACUGAAACUCAAAGGAAUUGACGGGGGCCCGCACAAGCGGUGGAGCAUGUGGUUUAAUUCGAAGCAACGCGAAGAACCUUACCAGGUCUUGACAUCCUCUGACAAUCCUAGAGAUAGGACGUCCCCUUCGGGGCAGAGUGACAGGUGCUGCAUGGU